GAGAAAAGGACCUUCGGGUCCCCAGUAAAGUGGCGGACGGGUGAGUAACACGUGAGUAACGUACCUUGGAGUGGGGGAUAACUACCCGAAAGGGUGGCUAAUACCGCAUAAGACCACAGUGCCUACGGGCGCAGGGGUCAAAGACUUCGGUCGCUCCAAGAUCGGCUCGCGGCCCAUUAGCUUGUUGGUAGGGUAACGGCCUACCAAGGCUAUGACGGGUAGGUGGUCUGAGAGGAUGGUCACCCACACUGGGACUGAGACACUGCCCAGACUCCUACGGGAGGCUGCAGUCGAGAAUCUUCCGCAAUGGGCGAAAGCCUGACGGAGCAAUGCCGCGUGAACGAUGACGGCCUUCGGGUUGUAAAGUUCUGUCACCAGGGACGAAAUUUGACGGUACCUGGAGAGGAAGUGACGGCUAACUACGUGCCAGCGGCCGCGGUAAUACGUAGGUCACGAGCGUUAAUCGGAUUUAUUGGGCGUAAAGGGUCCGCAGGGGGUUUAUUAAGUCUGAUGUGAAAGCCAACGGCUCAACCGUUGAACUGCAUUGGAUACUGGUAAACUGGAGUAUCGGAGAGGAAAGUGGAAUUCCUGGUGUAGCGGUGGAAUGCUUAGAUAUCAGGAGGAACACCAAUGGCGAAGGCAGCUUUCUGGACGAUUACUGACCCUCAUGGACGAAAGCGUGGGUAGCAAACAGGAUUAGAUACCCUGGUAGUCCACGCUGUAAACGGUCUACACUAGUUGUGGGAGGAUUUGACCCCUUCCGUGACCAAGCUAACGCGUUAAGUGUAGCGCCUGGGGAGU
rnacentral:rRNA from 1 species